CCUACGGGAGGCAGCAGUGGGGGAUAUUGCACAAUGGGGGGAACCCUGAUGCAGCGACGCCGCGUGGGUGAAGGAGUGCUUCGGCAUGUAAAGCCCUAUCGGCAGGGAAGAAGCAAGACGGUACCUGACUAAGAAGCCCCGGCUAACUACGUGCCAGCAGCCGCGGUAAUCCGUAGGGGGCGAGCGUUAUCCGGAUUCACUGGGUGUAAAGGGAGCGUAGACGGCCAAGCAAGCCAGAGGUGAAAGCCCGGGGCCCAACCCCGGGACUGCCCUUGGAACUGCAUGGCUGGAGUGCGGGAGGGGCAGGCGGAAUUCCUGGUGUAGCGGUGAAAUGCGUAGAGAUCAGGAGGAACACCAGUGGCGAAGGCGGCCGCCUGGCCUGUUGCUGACGCUGAGGCACGAAAGCGUGGGGAGCAAAUAGGAUUAGAUACUCGGGUAGUC
rnacentral:rRNA from 1 species